rnacentral:rRNA from 1 species
UACUGAGGGGGCUAGCGUUGUUCGGAAUCACUGGGCGUAAAGCGGGCGUAGGCGGACUUGUUAGUCAGGGGUGAAAUCCCGGGGCUCAACCCCGGAACUGCCUUUGAUACUGCAAGUCUUGAGUGCGAGAGAGGUGAGUGGAAUUCCUAGUGUAGAGGUGAAAUUCGUAGAUAUUAGGAAGAACACCAGUGGCGAAGGCGGCUCACUGGCUCGGUACUGACGCUGAGGUGCGAAAGCGUGGGGAGCAAACAGG